GAUGAACGCUGGCGGCGUGCCUAAUACAUGCAAGUCGAGCGAACAGACGAGGAGCUUGCUCCUCUGACGUUAGCGGCGGACGGGUGAGUAACACGUGGAUAACCUACCUAUAAGACUGGGAUAACUUCGGGAAACCGGAGCUAAUACCGGAUAAUAUAUUGAACCGCAUGGUUCAAUAGUGAAAGACGGUUUUGCUGUCACUUAUAGAUGGAUCCGCGCCGCAUUAGCUAGUUGGUAAGGUAACGGCUUACCAAGGCAACGAUGCGUAGCCGACCUGAUAGGGUGAUCGGCCACACUGGAACUGAGACACGGUCCAGACUCCUACGGGAAGCAGCAGUAGGGAAUCUUCCGCAAUGGGCGAAAGCUUGACGGAGCAACGCCGCGUGAGUGAUGAAGGUCUUCUGAUCGUAAAACUCUGUUAUUAGGGAAGAACAAAUGUGUAAGUAACUAUGCACGUCUUGACGGUACCUAAUCAGAAAGCCACGGCUAACUACGUG
rnacentral:rRNA from 1 species